GAAAUCCGAUAAGUAGUGUGAAUUGCAGAAUUCAGUGAAUCAUCGAAUCUUUGAACGCACAUUGCGCCCCUUGGUAUUCCAUGGGGCAUGCCUGUUCGAGCGUCAUUUGUACCCUCAAGCUCUGCUUGGUGUUGGGUGUUUGUCCCCGUCUCCGCGCGUGGACUCGCCCCAAAGUGAUUGGCAGCCGGCGUACUGGUCCCGGAGCGCAGCACAUGUCGCGCAAACGAGUGCCUUGGUACGGCGGCGUCCAUAAGCCCCUCUCUCACGCUCUUGACCUCGGAUCAGGUAGGGAUACCCGCUGAACUUAAGC
rnacentral:misc_RNA from 1 species